rnacentral:rRNA from 1 species
UACGUAGGGUGCAAGCGUUAAUCGGAAUUACUGGGCGUAAAGCGCGUGUAGGCGGCUCGAUAAGUCCGGUGUGAAACCUUGGGGCUCAACCCCAAGCCUGCACUGGAUACUGCCGAGCUAGAGUCCGGGAGGGGAGAGCGGAAUUCCUAGUGUAGCGGUGAAAUGCGCAGAUAUUAGGAAGAACACCGGUGGCGAAGGCGGCUCUCUGGAACGGUACUGACGCUGAGACGCGAAAGCGUGGGGAGCGAACAGG